UACGAAGGGGGCUAGCGUUGCUCGGAAUCACUGGGCGUAAAGCGCACGUAGGCGGAUCUUUAAGUCAGGGGUGAAAUCCUGGAGCUCAACUCCAGAACUGCCUUUGAUACUGGGGAUCUCGAGUCCGGAAGAGGUGAGUGGAACUCCGAGUGUAGAGGUGAAAUUCGUAGAUAUUCGGAAGAACACCAGUGGCGAAGGCGGCUCACUGGUCCGGUACUGACGCUGAGGUGCGAAAGCGUGGGGAGCAGACAGG
rnacentral:rRNA from 1 species